AUCUUUUUUUUUGGUUCAUGAGCCUGAUGAUUGGGUGUUCACACAGUUUCAUGACAUGUGCCUCCCUCAAACCUUGUUAUAUGUUGGCACAUUAUGUGUCUGACA